UGAGGAAUAUUGGUCAAUGGGCGGAAGCCUGAACCAGCCAUCCCGCGUGAAGGAAGAAGGCCUUAUGGGUUGUAAACCUCUUUUCUGUUUGAAGAAUAAGCUUGUCGUGACAAGUGAUGCCGGUAGGACGGGAAUAAGCAUCGGCUAACUCCGUGCCGGCAGCCGCGGUAAUACGGAGGAUGCAAGCGUUAUCCGGAUUUAUUGGGUUUAAAGGGUGCGCAGGUGGUUUAAUAAGUCAGUGGUGAAAGUCUGCCGCUUAACGGUAGGAUUGCCAUUGAUACUGUUGGACUUGAAUAUGGAUGAGGUAGGCGGAAUGUGUAGUGUAACGGUGAAAUGCUUAGAUAUUACACAGAACACCGAUUGCGAAGGCAGCUUACUAAUCCAUGAUUGACGCUGAGGCACGAAAGCGUGGGGAUCAAACAG
rnacentral:rRNA from 1 species